rnacentral:rRNA from 1 species
ACCGUACUCCUACGGGAGGCAGCAGUGGGGAAUCUUAGACAAUGGGGGCAACCCUGAUCUAGCCAUGCCGCGUGAGUGAUGAAGGCCUUAGGGUUGUAAAGCUCUUUCAGCUGGGAAGAUAAUGACGGUACCAGCAGAAGAAGCCCCGGCUAACUCCGUGCCAGCAGCCGCGGUAAUACGGAGGGGGCUAGCGUUGUUCGGAAUUACUGGGCGUAAAGCGCACGUAGGCGGACUGGAAAGUUGGAGGUGAAAUCCCAGGGCUCAACCUUGGAACUGCCUUCAAAACUAUCAGUCUGGAGUUCGAGAGAGGUGAGUGGAAUUCCGAGUGUAGAGGUGAAAUUCGUAGAUAUUCGGAGGAACACCAGUGGCGAAGGCGGCUCACUGGCUCGAUACUGACACUGAGGUGCGAAAGUGUGGGGAGCAAACAGGAUUAGAUACCCGUGUAGUCCUUGAC